rnacentral:rRNA from 1 species
AUUGAACGCUGGCGGCAGGCUUAACACAUGCAAGUCGAGCGGGGGAAGGUAGCUUGCUACCGGACCUAGCGGCGGACGGGUGAGUAAUGCUUAGGAAUCUGCCUAUUAGUGGGGGACAACAUCUCGAAAGGGAUGCUAAUACCGCAUACGUCCUACGGGAGAAAGCAGGGGAUCUUCGGACCUUGCGCUAAUAGAUGAGCCUAGGUCGGAUGAGCUAGUUGGGGGGGUAAAGGCCUACCAAGGCGACGAUCUGUAGCGGGUCUGUGGGGAUGAUCCGCCACACUGGGACUGAGACACGGCCCGGACUCCUACGGGAGGCAGCAGUGGGGAAUAUUGGACAAUGGGGGUAACCCUGAUCCAGCCAUGCCGCGUGUGUGAAGAAGGCCUUAUGGUUGUAAAGCACUUUAAGCGAGGAGGAGGCUACUCUAGUUAAUACCUAGGGAUAGUGGACGUUACUCGCAGAAUAAGCACCGGCUAACUCUGUGCCAGCCGCCGCAGUAA